rnacentral:rRNA from 1 species
UACGUAGGGGGCUAGCGUUGUCCGGAAUCAUUGGGCGUAAAGAGCGUGUAGGCGGUCCGGUAAGUCCGCUGUGAAAGUCGGGGGCUCAACCCUCGAAUGCCGGUGGAUACUGUCGGGCUAGAGUACGGAAGAGGCGAGUGGAAUUCCUGGUGUAGCGGUGAAAUGCGCAGAUAUCAGGAGGAACACCUAUUGCGAAGGCAGCUCGCUGGGGCGUAACUGACGCUGAGACGCGAAAGCGUGGGGAGCAAACAGG